rnacentral:lncRNA from 1 species
AUGGGAUGCCCCAUGGGUGCCCAAGGCCACCCAAGGGCACUGUUGAGCACCAAGGGGUGCAGGAUGGCACCAUGGGCACCCAAAGGUCCUCCUGGUUCUCAUGAGCUGCAGGGUGCCACAAGGGCACCGCUGAGCACCGAGGGGCACAGGAUGGCACCAUGGGCACCCAAGGGCACUGCUCAGCACCAAGGGGUGCAGGAUGCCCCAUGGGCACCCAAAGGUGCUCCCGGUUCCCAUGAGCUGCAGGAUGCUCCAAGGGCACCGUUGAGCACCAAGGGAUGCAGGAUGGCAUCAGGGGCACCCAAGGGCACCGCUGAGCACCAAGAGGUGCAGGAUGGCAUCAGGGGCACCCAAGGGCACCGCUGAGCACCAAGAGGUGUAGGAUGCCCCAUGGGCACCCAAAGGUGCUCCUGGUUCCCGUGAGCUGCAGGAUGCUCCAAGGGCACCGUUGAGUACCGAGGGGUGCAGGAUGGCAUCAGGGACACCCAAGGGCACCGUUGAGCACCAAGGGGCGCAGGAUG